AUCCAGCUGACGAGUCCCAAAUAGGACGAAACGCGCGUGCUGGAU
rfam:Schistosoma mattheei strain Denwood, Zambia genome assembly, scaffold: SMTD_scaffold0002113